rnacentral:tRNA from 3 species
CUCGCCGUAGUUCAACGGAUAGAACACAUGCCUCCUAAGCGUGUGAUACAGGUUCGAUUCCUGUCGGCGGGACCA